GACGAACGCUGGCGGCGCGCCUAACACAUGCAAGUCGAACGGAGCUGAGAGAAGCUUGCUUUUCUUAGCUUAGUGGCGAACGGGUGAGUAACGCGUGAGUAACCUGCCCUGGAGUGGGGGACAACAGAUGGAAACGACUGCUAAUACCGCAUAAGCCCACGAUCCGGCAUCGGAUUGAGGGAAAAGGAUUUGUUCGCUUCAGGAUGGACGCGCGUCCAAUUAGCUAGUUGGUGCGGUAACGGCCCACGAAGGCGACGAUUGGUAGCCGGACUGAGAGGUUGAGCGGACACAUUGGGAGUAGGACACAGCGCAGACUCCUGCGGGAGGGAGCAGUGGGGGAUAUUGCAAUAUGGGGGGAGUGCUGAUGCAGCGACGACGGGUGGAGGAAGAAGGUUUUGAGAUUGUAAACUCAUGUCGUUAGGGACGAUAAUGACGGUACCUAACAAGAAAGCACCGGCUAACUACGUG
rnacentral:rRNA from 1 species